GAUGAACGCUGGCGGCGUGCUUAACACAUGCAAGUCGAACGGAAAGGCUCCUGCUUGCAGGGGUACUCGAGUGGCGAACGGGUGAGUAACACGUGGGUGAUCUGCCCUGCACUUCGGGAUAAGCCUGGGAAACUGGGUCUAAUACCGGAUAGGACCACAUUUUGGAUGGUGUGGUGGAAAGUUUUUCGGUGUGGGAUGAGCUCGCGGCCUAUCAGCUUGUUGGUGGGGUAAUGGCCUACCAAGGCGUCGACGGGUAGCCGGCCUGAGAGGGUGUACGGCCACAUUGGGACUGAGAUAGGGCCCAGACUCCUACGGGAGGCAGCAGUGGGGAAUAUUGCACAAUGGGCGCAAGCCUGAUGCAGCGACGCCGCGUGGGGGAUGACGGCCUUCGGGUUGUAAACUCCUUUCGCUAGGGACGAAGCGCAAGUGACGGUACCUAGAGAAGAAGCACCGGCUAACUACGUG
rnacentral:rRNA from 1 species